rnacentral:tRNA from 1 species
UCCGAUAUGGUGUACUGGUUAGCAUAUCUGGCUUUCACCCAGAAGAUCCGGGUUCGAUUCCCGGUAUCGGAA